GAUGAACGCUAGCGGCAGGCCUAACACAUGCAAGUCGAGGGAGAAGCCCUUUCGGGGGCAGAAACCGGCGCACGGGUGCGUAACGCGUAUGCAACCUACCUUUCACAGGGGGAUAGCCCGAAGAAAUUUGGAUUAAUACCCCAUAAUAUUAUUGGAUGGCAUCAUUUGAUAAUUAAAACUGCGGUGGUGAAAGAUGGGCAUGCGUCCUAUUAGCUAGUUGGAGUGGUAACGGCACCCCAAGGCUACGAUAGGUAGGGGUCCUGAGAGGGAGAUCCCCCACACUGGGACUGAGACAGGGACCAGACUCCUACGGGAGGCAGCAGUGAGGAAGAUUGGGCAAUGGUCGGAAGACUGAACCAGCCAUGCCGCGUGCAGGAAGAAUGCCUUAUGGGUUGUAAACUGCUUUUAUAUGGGAAGAAUAAGGCGUACGUGUACGUUGAUGACGGUACCAUAUGAAUAAGCAUCGGCUAACUCCGUG
rnacentral:rRNA from 1 species